UACGGAGGGUGCAAGCGUUAUCCGGAUUCACUGGGUUUAAAGGGUGCGUAGGUGGGCUGGUAAGUCAGUGGUGAAAUCUCCAGGCUUAACUUGGAAACUGCCAUUGAUACUAUCAGUCUUGAAUACCGUGGAGGUCAGCGGAAUAUGUCAUGUAGCGGUGAAAUGCUUAGAUAUGACAUAGAACACCAAUUGCGAAGGCGGCUGGAUACACGAAUAUUGACACUGAUGCACGAAAGCGUGGGGAUCAAACAGG
rnacentral:rRNA from 1 species